GUUGGCUUAGAAGCAGCCACUCAUUUAAAGAGUGCGUAAUAGCUCACUAGUCGAGAGAUCCUGCGCCGAAAAUGUCCGGGGCUCAAACUUACCACCGAAGCUACGGGCUUGCGUAAGCAAGCGGUAGGGGAGCGUCGUAAUCGGGCUGAAGUCGUACCGUAAGGAGCGGUGGACUGAUUACGAGUGAGAAUGUUGGCAUUAGUAGCGAGAUGUAGGUGAGAAUCCUACAGGCCGAAUAUCUAAGGUUUCCUCAGGAAGGCUCGUCCGCUGAGGGUUAGUCGGGACCUAAGCCGAGGCCGAAAGGCGUAGGCGAUGGACAAUCGGUUGAUAUUCCGAUACCACUACCAUCGUUAUUAUCGAGGGUGUGACGGAGAAGGAUAGUGUGUGCUAGCGAUUGGAAAUGCUAGUCUAAGCGUUUAGGGAGUUACGGUAGGCAAAUCCGCUGUAACAAUUCUGAGGCGUGAUGGGGAAGGCCAUAUAGGCCGAAGUACAUGAUUCCAUGCUUCCAAGAAAAGCAUCUAGAGAGAGAAGUAGUGCCCGUACCGCAAACCGACACAGGUAGAUGAGGAGAGAAUCCUAAGGCCGGCGGAAGAAUUGCAGUUAAGGAACUAGGCAAAUUGACCCCGUAAGUUCGCGAGAAGGGGUGCCUGCGAGAGCAGGCCGCAGAGAAUAGGCCCAAGCAACUGUUUAGCAAAAACACAGGUCUCUGCUAAAGCGUAAGCUGAUGUAUAGGGGCUGACGCCUGCCCGGUGCUGGAAGGUUAAGGGGAACACUUAGCGCAAGCGAAGGUGUGAACUUAAGCCCCAGUAAACGGCGGCCGUAACUAUAACGGUCCUAAGGUAGCGAAAUUCCUUGUCAGGUAAGUUCUGACCCGCACGAAUGGCGUAAUGACUUGGGCACUGUCUCAACUGCAAAUCCGGCGAAGUUGUAGUGCGAGUGAAGAUGCUCGCUACCCGCGAUUGGACGGAAAGACCCCGUAGAGCUUUACUGUAGCUUAGCAUUGAAUUCCGGUAUUGUCUGUACAGGAUAGGUGGGAGACUGGGAAACUAGGGCGUCAGCCUUAGUGGAGUCAACCUUGGGAUACCACCCUGACAGUACUGGGGUUCUAACAGGACGCCAUGAAUCUGGUGACUGGACAUUGUUAGGUGGGCAGUUUGACUGGGGCGGUCGCCUCCUAAAAAGUAACGGAGGCGCCCAAAGGUUCCCUCAGAACGGUCGGAAAUCGUUCGUAGAGUGCAAAGGCAGAAGGGAGCCUGACUGCGAGACAUACAAGUCGAGCAGGGACGAAAGUCGGGCUUAGUGAUCCGGUGGUACCUCGUGGGAGGGCCAUCGCUCAACGGAUAAAAGCUACCUCGGGGAUAACAGGCUGAUCUCCCCCAAGAGUCCACAUCGACGGGGAGGUUUGGCACCUCGAUGUCGGCUCGUCGCAUCCUGGGGCUGUAGUAGGUCCCAAGGGUUGGGCUGUUCGCCCAUUAAAGCGGCACGCGAGCUGGGUUCAGAACGUCGUGAGACAGUUCGGUCCCUAUCCGUCGCGGGCGUAGGAAAUUUGAGAGGAGCUGUCCUUAGUACGAGAGGACCGGGAUGGACUGACCUCUGGUG
rnacentral:rRNA from 1 species